rnacentral:rRNA from 1 species
GUGAGGAAUAUUGGUCAAUGGGCGAGAGCCUGAACCAGCCAAGUCGCGUGAAGGAAGAAGGAUCUAUGGUUCGUAAACUUCUUUUGCAGGGGAAUAAAGUGCAGGACGUGUCCUGUUUUGUAUGUACCCUGAGAAUAAGGAUCGGCUAACUCCGUGCCAGCAGCCGCGGUAAUACGGAGGAUCCGAGCGUUAUCCGGAUUUAUUGGGUUUAAAGGGUGCGUAGGUGGUUUGAUAAGUCAGCGGGGAAAGUUUGCAGCUUAACUGUAAAAAUGCCGUUGAAACUGUCGGACUUGAGUGUAAAUGAGGGAGGCGGAAUGCGUGGUGUAGCGGUGAAAUGCAUAGAUAUCACGCAGAACUCCGAUUGCGAAGGCAGCUUACUAAGCUACAACUGACACUGAAGCACGAAAGCGUGGGGAUCAAACAGGAUUAGAAACCCCGGUAGUCC